GUUUUCCAUGAAUUUUUUCCACGACAAAGUGUAAGUAAAUGUACUCAAAAUAUAAAUCGAGCUCUUUUGCAUAAUCCUCAAAAAUUUCUAAUAUUGUAUAUAAUAUACUGUAGGUUUAUAUAUUAGAAAAUUAUAAAUAGUAUGAUCAAUAAUCCAUAAGAAGUUGCAUAAACAUCUGAGGAGUCAAGAAACGAUAGUUUGGCUCAAUUAGUUUCAGCAUAUUCCAGAUAAAGAUAUCAUCGUAGUUAAAUGCAUAUAUAAUUCAACUUGGACUUUUUAGCUCCAAUGAUAGUUUUUAAUGAAUAUCUCCCGAUCAUUUUCAAUUAUCCGAAUAGAAAAAAUACUGUAUAUAGUUAUAAUGUGCACUGCAGUACAGUAUUUCUAAAUUUGCUGAACAUAAUGUUUCAAAUUAUAGUUGAUCACAGAAAAUCUGUUUGGCGUACAUUUUCAGUGUAUUGUUUGAAAACAUUAUUGCACUCAAAUAUGGG
rnacentral:lncRNA from 1 species